AGCCGAAACGGUCAGUAAUGACCGUCUACCGGAAAUGACCGCCCGGUACUGAUGAUGGUAGGUCAAA
rnacentral:hammerhead_ribozyme from 1 species